UCGAGAAUCUUCGGCAAUGGGGGAAACCCUGACCGAGCGACGCCGCGUGCGAGAUGAAGGCCUUCGGGUUGUAAAUCGCUGUCAGAGGGGAGGAAAUGCCGGUGGGUUCUCUCAUCGGUUUGACCUAUCCUCAGAGGAAGGACGGGCUAAGUUCGUGCCAGCAGCCGCGGUAAGACGAACCGUCCAAACGUUAUUCGGAAUCACUGGGCUUAAAGGGUGCGUAGGCGGCCCGGCAAGUUGGGUGUGAAAGCCCUCGGCUCAACCGAGGAAUUGCGCCCAAAACUGUCGGGCUUGAGGGAGACAUAGGUGAGCGGAACCUAGGGUGGAGCGGUGAAAUGCGUUGAGAUCCUAGGGAACACCAGUAGCGAAAGCGGCUCACUGGGUCUCUUCUGACGCUGAGUGCACGAAAGCCAGGGGAGCGAAGAG
rnacentral:rRNA from 1 species